rnacentral:rRNA from 1 species
UGGCUCAGGAUGAACGCUGGCGGCGCGUCUUAAGCAUGCAAGUCGAGCGGUAAGAUUGGUGCUUGCACUAAUCCUAGAGCGGCGGACUGGUGAGUAACGCGUGGGUGACGUACCUCUGUGACGGGGACAGCUCCUAGAAAUAGGAGAUAAUACCGGAUACGCUGCAUGUUGUCAGAGGACAUGCAGGAAAGGAUCUUUUGAUUCGCACAGAGAGCGGCCCGCGUACUAUUAGCUAGUUGGUGAGGUAACGGCCCACCAAGGCGACGAUAGUUACCCGGCCUAAGAGGGUGAUCGGGCACAUUGGGACUGAGAUACGGCCCAGACUCCUACGGGAGGCAGCAGUGGGGAAUA